rnacentral:rRNA from 1 species
CACGGGUCAACCGGAUCCCAACUCCGUUUCAACACCAAAGUUCCCCGGACGAGCGAAUAGCCUUGCAGUUUGCGGUUGGAAGGCAGAGGGGAUCCAGCAGAGAUCCCGGCAGGCGAGCCGCGCCGCGCCGAUCGCUCGGCGGUUGCCGCUUUGCCAGCGAGUGAAAUCGGAGACUCCAGUUCAGUUCUGGCUUCGCUUCCUUCCCAGUUUCCUUCCAGUGCUGUGUGUGCAGUGUGAUAGACUGACCGUCCCGUGGUCGUACUCCGGCGUACACGGGGCGUCGCAACGUUCGACUGAGGGUGGACUUGUCCUCUGCCCCUUCAAGUGUGCCAGUGCUGGGUGCGGAGCCGGAAAAAAAAAAUACUCCUAGAAGAGAGAAGCAUCGUCCAUCUCUUUCCCUUACCUUUGUUCCCUCUUCCUCCCUCCUCCUGCCGACCUGACCCGACCUACCAACCCGCCUCCCCCACCGCGGCAGCUCGGAAUCUCCCCUCGCCGUCCGCCCGCCCCACGGCUGCCGCCGCGCCGUGCGUCGCCGCCGCUGCCUCCGCCAAGCACCCCCGGCCGGGCCCCUCACGGCGCGUCGCCGCCGUCCCCCCCUUUCGCUCGUCGGGGCGUCGCGUUCCUGCUGCCUCCGCCCCGUCCGCGGUCCCCGGCCGCCGGUUUCCGAGAUAUCGUUCCAUUGUCGGUCCAUCGUGAAAGUCCAGGGUGUUGCAUGCCAUAACGAGAAAAGCCCGUGCUUACGCUCUCAUCUGACUGGCAGAAUAUGGUAAUCGAUCAGUUUUGGUAACAUUGUGGUGAGUGCGCUGCUGGUUAGAUAUACCACAGAUCCUUCCAUAUUCGAUAUGCCAUCAUGGUGGGGGAAGUCUUCCUCCAAAGAUGCAAAGAAAACCACCAAAGAGAACCUCAUGGAUACAUUUCAUCGGUUUAUAAGUCCAAAUGAGCAAAAAGGAAGCACAAAAUCAAAACGGAGGUAUAGACGUGGCGAUGAUACAGCUGUUGAAAAGGUCUGCCAGUCUACCACAGUAUCGCGCGCAACUUCACCCUCAAAAGAAGUUUCUCGCUGUCAAAGCUUUUCAGCUGAUAGGCUACAUUCCCAACCACUUCCUGUUCCUGGAUCACGUCCUGCAGUCACACGCACUGCUUCUGAUGUCACUGAAUCAAGGCCCAUAUUAGAAAAACGUGGCAAACCACCACUGCUUCUGCCACUUCCUAAACCUAACAGGCCUCAGAGAAGGUCAGAAAUAGUGAUUGCUUCCCUCUCUAGCAACUGCUCUGUUGAUAGUGAUGACCAUGGAGAUUCUCAGCUUCCGAGCCCUGUUGGAAAUGAUGCUGAAAACACAACAAAUACUACUUCCAAGAGCAAGUCAAGUAAUGUGCGCAAAGAGCGUCCUGGUGCUAUCACCACCAAGAAUACCAAGGAGACGGCAAAGACAGCUAAUCAAUUCCUCAGUAACCAUACAUUGUCCACAUCGCCGAGAGGUAUUGCAGCUGAUAAUCACCAACCUAAUCCACAAAAUCCUCGGCCGGUAGUCUUGGAGAGUGCUCCGAAUAGUUUGAUGUCAAGUCCAUCUAGAAGUCCGAGAAGAAUAUGUCCGGAUCAUAUUCCAACUUCAGCCUUUUGGGCAGUGAAGCCUCAUACAGAUGUUACUUUCCUUGGCUCUGGUCAGUGCUCCAGUCCAGGUUCAGGGCAAACAUCUGGGCACAACUCCGUGGGUGGUGAUAUGCUAGCCCAGCUUUUCUGGCAGCCCAGCAGAGGUAGUCCAGAGUGUUCACCGAUUCCUAGCCCAAGAAUGACAAGUCCUGGCCCUAGUUCCAGGGUGCACAGUGGAAGUGUUUCUCCGUUGCAUCCGAGGUCUGGAGGGAUGGCACCUGAAUCUCCGACAGGUCGGAAUGAUGGUGGGAAGAAGAAGCAAACCCACAGAUUGCCUCUUCCACCACUGAGCAUCUCUAAUAAUUCAUUUUUUCCAAACAAGUCCACGCCAGCUAGUCCUAUUUCAGUGCCUCGUAGUCCUGGUCGACCAGAGAAUCCACCGAGUCCUGGAUCACGAUGGAAGAAGGGGAAGCUGAUUGGUCGUGGGACAUUUGGCCAUGUAUAUGUCGGCUUUAACAGUGAUAGCGGUGAAAUGUGUGCUAUGAAAGAGGUGACCCUAUUCUCGGAUGAUCCUAAAUCAAAGGAAAGUGCAAAGCAGUUGGGGCAGGAAAUAUCGCUCUUGAGCCGCUUACAACACCCAAAUAUCGUACGAUACUAUGGCACAGAAACGGUUGAUGACAAACUGUAUAUAUAUUUGGAGUUUGUGUCUGGUGGAUCUAUCCAUAAACUUCUACAAGAGUAUGGACAGCUUGGUGAACCAGCAAUACGCAGCUACACUCAGCAGAUACUCUCAGGCUUAGCUUAUUUGCAUGCGAAGAAUACAGUCCAUAGGGAUAUCAAAGGUGCAAACAUACUAGUAGAUCCUAGCGGUCGUGUUAAGCUUGCAGACUUUGGAAUGGCUAAACAUAUCAAUGGGCAGCAAUGUCCUUUCUCAUUUAAGGGUAGCCCAUAUUGGAUGGCUCCAGAGGUUAUAAAGAGUUCGAAUGGUGGUUGCAAUCUUGCGGUUGACAUAUGGAGUUUAGGAUGCACUGUCCUGGAGAUGGCUACCGCAAAACCCCCAUGGAGCCAGUACGAAGGGAUUGCUGCAAUGUUCAAGAUUGGAAAUAGCAAGGAACUUCCACCAAUACCAGAUCACCUAUCAGAGCAGUGCAAGGACUUCAUCAGGAAGUGUCUGCAACGUGAUCCUUCUCAACGGCCGACAGCAAUGGAGCUUUUGCAACACCCGUUCAUACAAUAUAAAGUCCGACUUGAGAAAUCCGUUAUGUCUGAUCCUUUGGACCAUUUGCCCGUGAUAUCUUGUAGACCGAAUUCUAAGGUGGCUGGACAUACAACAAAUAUUUCGUCAUUGGGAUUGGAGGGUCAGACAAUUUACCAGAGAAGGGGUGCAAAAUAUUCUUCGAAGCAUAGCGAUAUCCAUAUACGGAGCAAUAUAUCAUGUCCAGUUUCUCCAUGUGGAAGUCCUCUGCUAAGGUCAAGGUCUCCCCAACAUACAAAUGGCCGAAUGUCACCCUCUCCAAUUUCAAGCCCCAGAACCCUUUCAGGCACCUCUACUCCCCCGUCUGGUGGAAAUGGUGCUAUUCCCUUUAAUCAUUCGAAGCAACCAACCUACAGCAAUGAAGGAUUUGCAAUCGCAUCAAGAGGCCCAGAUGAUCACUUCCCCAACCGGCCUACAGAUCGUAACCUUGGGCAAUUUGGUCGAGUGCAUCAAGUCUCACAGGUGAGUCAGGAGAGGAUAGUAACUGAAGCUAACAUUCUGAGCCCUCAAUUUGGAAAGAGGCUUGGAAACGUUUUUGAUCUGCGAGAUAGACUGUCGCCUUCUGAACAUUUCAGUCGUCCUACCUUGGUGGAUCAUGUGAAGCCAAAUCCUUCACUAGACUUAACAACUUGUUCUCCCCACCUUGGACACAAGCGUGAUAACUAAUUAUCAAGGAUAGGCCAAGUGAUUUCUUUUGGAGCUUGGUAGGGUAACUGAGUGGUUUUCAGCUGCUUUGGCCAUUCAGUCGCUGGAAUUGUAUCAUAAUAUGACUAUGGGAAAUAUCAUUGGUUUAUUUUGAAGCCAACAACUGUAGAUGGAUGGAGUCUUUGUUGUCAUCCCCACAGAUAGACAAAGCCCAUCCAUCCAUCACUGUCAGGCGGAACAACUGGGUGUUUGCAUACUACUACUACUGGCGUGCUAACAACAUGCGUCGAAACGACAAGACUGUAUACUAGGAGACUGAAGAAGCCAGAGCAGUUGGCCACCUCCCUGCCUCUACAUGUUAAUUGCCUUUCUUGGCGUCCUGAUGCCAUUUGUACAGAAGUAAUCUCAAGUAAAAGCCAACCAAUAUUUUGCACAGGAGAAACAGUUGAGCCAAAUUAUUUUUAACAGCUACCCGAGGCUGAAGCGGCGGCUGCAAGUCACCAUGGAAACUCGUACAAAGAGCAUGGUCCCUAAUUAAAUUAGCUCUCCCGACAUGUAUAAUUUCUCAUUCAGAUGUACCAUGCCCGUCCAGUUGUUCAUAUUGAAUCCGUAUAUAUACAACUUGUCUGCGUUACUGCCGGUAGCUGUAUUCCUCCAGGUUCCAUAUGCGCUCUGCACGUGUUUCGCGGCAAGAUGGUGAACGGCCCUGGCAUGGAGCCAAGCAGUAAGCCAUAUGUUCUGCAAACGAUGAUGGUGCGCUCCGUGUAAAGGUUGUGUGCAUCGUCGUGUCUGCUCCUAGUCAGCUCAGUUUGGCACUAUGCUACUAUGCAUUAUUAUGUCUUGGCAUGCCAUCCUUCCAGGUCCAGUUGCCUUCCUACCACGGUGACAGAGGCCACGGUUUGUCCUGCCGAUCUACCAGCGUCGCUCAGCUCCCAGAUCGGGCCGACAGCGUGAGCCCCCUUGGAGCUGGCGCGGUGGCCACCAGGGCUCACAGAGCCGCCGCACACGCACCGGUUGUUUUCAGAAUUCACCCUUGCCUGUACGAUUUCCUCGCAUUCAUUGCCUUUGCUUCGUGUGCCCGCAUCUUCCACUUGCACCGGUUGGCAUUGGCAACCCGCCGUGUACCGUUCGCGGCUAGACGGCAGAGAAACAAACGGCCGGAGCAAGGCGUCUGCCACGGUGUACAGCUUGUCUGCUUGCAGUGUAGCGUUACCAUUCUACUUGCUACAGGACCAGAGCGGCAGGCCACGCCACGCCACGCCACGCCCCCACGCCGCUAGUUGCCAACCGGCGGUGGCUCCGCUCAUCAUUGUCCUUUGCCCCCAUCACUCUAGCCUGUGACCAAGGGCCUGCCAUUGCUUCAGCACGGCCUGACAGGUGGUAUAGGCUCC